UACGAAGGGAGCUAGCGUUGUUCGGAAUUACUGGGCGUAAAGGGCGCGUAGGCGGGUUUCCAAGUCGGGGGUGAAAUUCCAGGGCUCAACCCUGGGACGGCCUUCGAUACUGGGAGCCUGGAGAUCGGGAGAGGGAUGCGGAAUUCCAGGUGUAGCGGUGAAAUGCGUAGAUAUCUGGAGGAACACCGGUGGCGAAGGCGGCAUCCUGGACCGACACUGACGCUGAGGAGCGAAAGCCAGGGGAGCAAACGGG
rnacentral:rRNA from 1 species